AUUGAACGCUGGCGGCAGGCCUAACACAUGCAAGUCGAACGAGUGGCGGACGGGUGAGUAAUGUCUGGGAAACUGCCCGAUGGCGGGGGAUAACUACUGGAAACGGUAGCUAAUACCGCAUACCAUCGGAUGUUCCCAGAGGGGAUUAGCUAGUAGGUGGGGUAAAGGCUCACCUAGGCGACGAUCCCUAGCUGGUCUGAGAGGAUGACCAGCCACACUGGAACUGAGAAACGGUCCAGACGCCUACGGGAGGCAGCAGUGGGGAAUAUUGCACAAUGGGCGCAAGCCUGAUGCAGCCAGGCCGCGUGUGUGAAGAAGGCCUUCGGGUUGUAAAGUACUUUCAGCGGGGAGGCGUUACCCGAAGAAGAAGCACCGGCUAACUCCGUGCCAGCAGCCGCGGUAAUAC
rnacentral:rRNA from 1 species